rnacentral:rRNA from 1 species
GGUUUGAUUCUGGCUCAAGAUUGAACGCUGGCGGGAUGCUUUACACAUGCAAAUCGAACGGCAGCACGGACUUCGGUCUGGUGGCGAGUGGCGAAACGGGUGAGUAAUGUACGGAACGUGCCUAGUAGCGGGGAUAUACCGCGAAAGCGUAGCUAAUACCGCAUACGCCCUUCGGGGGAAAGCGGGGGGGACCUUCGGGCCUCGCACUAUUCGACGGCGAUAUCGGAUUAGCUAGUUGAAUUGUGGGGCGACGGCUCACCAAGGCGACGAUCCGUAGCUGGUUUGAGAGGACGACCAGCCACACUGGGACUGAGACACGGCCCAGACUCCUACAUGGAAAGCAGCAGUGGGGAAUUUGGAUCUGUCGGGGCUUAUGAUUGACGCCAUCCACGUGGCGACGUCGGAGGCCUUCGAAGUUUUCUUGUGCCGCCUUUGGCGCGGAAAAACGGCGCAGGACGCGUAACCCAGUGCAUGCAACGGGCGAUACCUCUGCCGAUCAGCACCGGCUAACUACGUGCCAGCAACCGCGGUAGCCGUAAGUGCAAGCGUUAAUCCGGAAUUACUGGGCAAAGAAGCAUGCGCAGGCGGUUCGGAGAGAAAGAUGUGAAAUCCCAGGCUUAACUUUUGGAACUGCCCAUUUUUAACUACCGAGCUAGAGUGUGUCAGAGAAAGGGAGGUGGAAUUCCGCGGUAGCAGUGAAAUGCGUAGAUAUGCGGAGGAACACCGAUGGCGAGGCAGCCUCCUGGGAUAACGCGACGCUCAUGCACGAAAAGCGUGAGGCAAACGGGAUUAGAUACCUGGUGAUCCACGCCCCAACGAUGUCAACUAGCUGUUGGGGCCUUCGGGCCUUGGUAGCGCAACUAACGCGUGAAGUUGACCGCCUGGGGGUGAUCGCAAGAUUAAAACUCAAGGAAUUGACGGGGACCCGCACAAGCGGUGGAUGAUGUGGAUUAAUUCGAUGCAACUGGUACAGAAAAACCCACCUACCCUUGACGUAAUGUCUGGAAUCCCAGAAGAGAUUUAAGGUGCUCGCAAGAGAACCGGAACACGGGUGCUGCAUAUGUGUGUGUCGUCUAUUUCGUGUCGUGAGAUGUUGGGUUAGAAGUCCCGCAAUGACGCAACCCUUGUCAUUAGUUGCUUUUACGAAAGGGCACUCCUAAUGAGACUGCCGGUGACAAACCGGAGGAAGGUGGGGAUGACGUCAAGUCCUCAUGGCCCUUAUGGUGGGGCUUCACACGUCAUACAAUGGUCGGGACAGAGGGUCGCCAACCCGCGAGGGGGAGCCAAUCCCCGAGGAAACCCGAUCGUAGUCCGGAUCGCAGUCUGCAACUCGACUGCGUGAAGUCAGAAUCGCUAGUAAUCGCGGAUCAGCAUGUCGCGGUAGACCGUUCCCGGGUCUUGUACACACCGCCCAUCACACCAUGGGAGUGGGUUUUACCAGAAGUAGUUAGCCUAGCCGUAAGGAGGGCGAAUUACCACGGUAGGAUUCAUGACGGUGAAGUCGUAACAGGUAG